rnacentral:rRNA from 1 species
UGUGUAAUAUUGCACAAUGGGCGAAAGCCUGAUGCAGCGACGCCGCGUGAGGGAUGACGGCCUUCGGGUUGUAAACCUCUUUCAGCAGGGACGAAGCGCAAGUGACGGUACCUGCAGAAGAAGCACCGGCUAACUACGUGCCAGCAGCCGCGGUAAUACGAAGGGUGCAAGCGUUUUCCGGAAUUACUGGGCGUAAAGAGUUCGUAGGCGGGUUGUCGCGUCGUGUGUGCAAACCAGCAGCUCAACUGCUGGCUUGCAGGCGAUACGGGCAGACUUGAGUACUGCAGGAGAGACUGGAAUUCCUGGUGUAGCGGUGAAAUGCGCAGAUAUCAGGAGGAACACCGGUGGCGAAGGCGGGUCUCUGGGCAGUAACUGACGCUGAGGAACGAAAGCGUGGGUAGCGAACAGG